rnacentral:rRNA from 1 species
UACGUAGGUCCCGAGCGUUAAUCGGAUUUACUGGGCGUAAAGCGUGCGCAGGCGGCCCGUUAAGACAGGUGUGAAAUCCCUGGGCUCAACCUGGGAACCGCAUUUCGAACUGGCAAACUAGAGUCUUGUAGAGGGGGGUAGAAUUCCAGGUGUAGCGGUGAAAUGCGUAGAGAUCUGGAGGAACACCGAUGGCGAAGGCAGCCCCCUGGGCCUGUACUGACGCUCAUGCACGAAAGCGUGGGGAGCAAACAGG